GGCCUAACACAUGCAAGUCGAGGGGUAGAGGUUGCUUGCAACCUUGAGACCGGCGCACGGGUGCGUAACGCGUAUGCAACCUACCUUUAUCUGGGGGAUAGCCCGAAGAAAUUCGGAUUAACACCGCAUAAAAUCACAGUAUCGCAUGGUACAAUGAUCAAAUAUUUAUAGGAUAAAGAUGGGCAUGCGUGUCAUUAGUUAGUUGGCGGGGUAACGGCCCACCAAGACCGCGAUGACUAGGGGAUCUGAGAGGAUGGCCCCCCACACUGGUACUGAGACACGGACCAGACUCCUACGGGAGGCAGCAGUAAGGAAUAUUGGUCAAUGGAGGCAACUCUGAACCAGCCAUGCCGCGUGCAGGAAGACAGCCCUCUGGGUCGUAAACUGCUUUUAUUCGGGAAUAAACCUACUUACGUGUAAGUAGCUGAAUGUACCGAAGGAAUAAGGAUC
rnacentral:rRNA from 1 species